ACACAUUAAUUGUAUUACAAAUUGAAGCACAGUUGUUACUUUGGUGGAGCAUUAGGCGGUUUGCCUAGUUACGAAACACGACAUUGUACGCGACCUCUCCUAAUCUUAUAGACAUAAUACUAGAGCCGAUUUACGCAAUCGAAUACCGCCGGAAGUAGAACAUUUAUGUCAACACCGGUUUCGUAUUUUCACGUGAAAACAGCCGAAAACUGAGAGGUUAUCAACAAAUUAUAAGUUUACGGGUACCAUGAGGAUUUUUCAUGCAUUUAAACGACAGAAGUACAAGCGAACAGAUGACACAUUAAAGUGGCUGCAGAAGCUUUAAAAGUUAGAUAGAGCUGGGGCAGUCAAAACAGUUGGAUAAUACUUCUAUGAUGUCCAACAUGUCCAGUCAGGUUGACAGAAGUGGAAUAUGGUCUGAUGGUACAAUGAUGUGCAGAUGAUACUCUGUAACAAGUUUAACAUGUCAAAGUGUAAAAUGUUCUGUGGAUUCAUAUGAUGAGAAUGCCAGGGUUGAUGUGUAUGACUUAAUUAAACACAAAUAGUGAUACCUUCAGAUAUGUACCUGUGAAAUCUUCAGUGUCACCGUUCAGCUGUUGUUCGAGAUCAGUGUCUGCAGCUUGCACAGUUUAGUAUAGAGGAGCCUACUGAAUCAAUUUUGUUACAUGUUUGCUGUUAUUAUAGGACACACAUGUAGAGAGCAGCAAGUCCUGUCCAGUCGUGCAUGUAAAUGUGAUUCAAAAACUCUGAGAAUAUGUAAACAUUACACUGAUAUAAUUUUCAAAAUACUGUGUCGAGUAGUGUAUCAGUACUGUUUUGUCUCAGUUUUGCUCAGUAUGUUCACAAAUCAAACUUAAGAUCAUAAUGAUCAGUAUUAUUAAAAUCAUUUAUUAUUUGUAUGGUGACAAAAUUUAAUUUCAUGAAAUACCACAGUAAAACGUUUGAUAAUUUUCGCUUUUAAAGUUGUGAGUUUAAUGUUGGCAUAAAUUGUUUUUCUCCUUCAUCAAUCUAAAAAGUGAUUGGUCAUUGUAAUUGCAAUAUCAUUUUAGUAUGACAAAGUUUAUAUUGAACUAAAACACUAAUGUAAAUUUUUGAACUGGUCAAUGCAUUUUCUUCAGUCUUAAAACAUUUGUUUAUCGUACGUGUCAUGGCCCAUAACUCCUCCAUAUUACUUGUGUUUUGUCCUUUUUAGUUUCACUGAAGAAUAGGUAGAGGUAUUGCACAUCCAUUUUUUAGCAUCCUGAUUUUGUAAAGUGCUGUAUGUAAGGUUUUAUCUCAGAAUUAUGUCUCAUCUAAAGGUGGGCAGAAGUAUUGUUUAUGUGUUUAUGCCUUCUCGUCUGUCCGCAUUAAGCCUGUCCGGCUUUAAGAGGACAAGCUGCUGGCCAGAUUUUGAUGAAACUUCAGAGGACUGAUCAGUACCAAGCAUAGUGUUGUGCAUAGCGCUUGCAUGUUUCGUUUCGCUGCACUAAAUUGCAGCUAGAGCUAAAAAUAGAAAAAAUCUUGUCGGCUUUCAUAGGUCAGAAUUACAUAACAGAUUUUGAUGAAACUUCACAGGAGUGAUCAGUACCAAGUAUAUUUUCGCAUUUCACCGGCACUUUCCAUUUUGCUGCACACAAUAGCCGCCAAAACUAAAGGUAUACAUAGGUGGGAGACAUGUUUUCUCAUAAAAAUACUUAAAACACCUUCCACUUUGUUAAUGAAAAAUGUAUCAAACUUCUUACAAAAAAUUAUUGCAAACUGUAAUAAUUUGACAUUAAAUACACUAGUUCCAUAACUGCAUUUGUUUUUAGCUCACCUGUCACAAAGUGACAAGGUGAGCUUUUGUGAUCGCGCGGUGUCCGUCGUCCGUGCGUGCGUGUGUCCGUAAACUUUUGCUAGUGACCACUCUAGAGGUCACAUUUUCAUGGGAUCUGUAUGAAAGCUGGUCAGAAUGUUCAUCUUGAUGAUAUCUAGGUCAGGUUCGAAACUGGGUCACGUGCCUUCAAAAACUAGGUCAGUAGGUCUAAAAAUAGAAAAACCUUGUGACCUCUCUAGAGGCCAUAUAUUUCAUAAGAUCUUCAUGAAAAUUGGUCAGAAUGUUUAUCUUGGUAAUAUCUAGGUCAAGUUCGAAACUGGGUCACGUGCCAUCAAAAACUAGGUCAGUAGGUCUAAAAAUAGAAAAAACCUUGUGACCUCUCUAGAGGCCAUAUAUUUCAUAAGAACUUCAUGAAAAUUGGUAAGAACGUUGACCUUGACAAUAUCUAGGUCAAGUUCGAAUCUGGGUCACGUGCCUUCAAAAAUUAGGUCAGUAGGUCAAAUAAUAGAAAAUCCUUGUGACCUCUCUAGAGGCCAAAUUUUUCAUGGGAUCUGUAUGAAAGUUGGUUUGAAUGUUCAUCUUGAUGAUAUCUAGACAAAGUUCGAAAGUGGGUCACGUGCCUUCAAAAACUAGGUCAGUAGGUCAAAUAAUAGAAAAACCUUGUGACCUCUCUAGAGAUCAUAUUUUUCAAUGGAUCUUCAUGAAAAUUGGUCAGAAUUUUUAUCUUGAUAAUAUCUAGGUCAAGUUCAAAAAAUAAUAGAAAAAACGACGUCAUACUCAAAACUGGGUCAUGUGGGAAGAGGUGAGCGAUUCAGGACCAUCAUGGUUCUCUUGUUUUACAUAAUCAUUGCCCUUUUCUUACCAUAGCAAUAUUUUGUGUAACAUGUUACCUCAUUAAGCAUCAUAAUAUCAGAAAAUUCUAUGACUCAGAAAUGUUGGCCCUUUAGUACUUGUCAUGUGUAUGCUUUCAGUAUUUUAUAUUGUCAUUACUUUUUGUUGUGCCAGUUUGCGGAAAUGAAGACUUAGCUGUCCAAAUGGUGUGCUUGUCCUGAUUAGUUUGUCUGGACAAUAUAUUAUUGAUUAGUCUUCACGAAAGUUCGCAGGUUAAUUUCCCUAAGUUCCCUGUCAACUUUGAUAGUGGCAUGGUUACUUUAGAAACUCUAAAGUGAUGUCACCACUGCACUAGCCAAACGUUUUGUAUUUCAGAUUUUAUAUCACUUUACAGGCUACUGGUAUUUAGUACCCUUCCUAAAACUUUCAUAAAAUUUUCCAAAAAUGUUGUUUUUUUUAAUUUGAACUGGCAUUAUUCAGACAUUAAGAAGUAGUACUAUAAGGCAACAUUUGACCUCUUUUCCAGUACAUUUUUAUUUUCUCUGUUACUAUGAAAUAGCCUUUUCCUAGAAAUUGGUUGGCUUAUUUUUGAUGAUCUUAUGUUUUUAAUGAAUUGUAGCUAUGUUCUUUAUUUCAUGAAAAUGACUAAAGUGCAAUACCACAUACUUAUCACUUUCAUUUACAUACUUGUGUUAUUUUCAUAAAACUUUAUAUAAAUCAUUAUAUUUCAUAUAAACAGAAUUAAAUAAAUAUUUCAGAACAUCA